rnacentral:rRNA from 1 species
GUCGAGCGGUAGCACAGAGAGCUUGCUCUCGGGUGACGAGCGGCGGACGGGUGAGUAAUGUCUGGGAAACUGCCUGAUGGAGGGGGAUAACUACUGGAAACGGUAGCUAAUACCGCAUAACGUCGCAAGACCAAAGUGGGGGACCUUCGGGCCUCAUGCCAUCAGAUGUGCCCAGAUGGGAUUAGCUAGUAGGUGGGGUAACGGCUCACCUAGGCGACGAUCCCUAGCUGGUCUGAGAGGAUGACCAGCCACACUGGAACUGAGACACGGUCCAGACUCCUACGGGAGGCAGCAGUGGGGAAUAUUGCACAAUGGGCGCAAGCCUGAUGCAGCCAUGCCGCGUGUGUGAAGAAGGCCUUCGGGUUGUAAAGCACUUUCAGCGGGGAGGAAGGCGGUGAGGUUAAUAACCUUGUCGAUUGACGUUACCCGCAGAAGAAGCACCGGCUAACUCCGUGCCAGCAGCCGCGGUAAUACGGAGGGUGCAAGCGUUAAUCGGAAUUACUGGGCGUAAAGCGCACGCAGGCGGUCUGUCAAGUCGGAUGUGAAAUCCCCGGGCUCAACCUGGGAACUGCAUUCGAAACUGGCAGGCUAGAGUCUUGUAGAGGGGGGUAGAAUUCCAGGUGUAGCGGUGAAAUGCGUAGAGAUCUGGAGGAAUACCGGUGGCGAAGGCGGCCCCCUGGACAAAGACUGACGCUCAGGUGCGAAAGCGUGGGGAGCAAACAGGAUUAGAUACCCUGGUAGUCCACGCCGUAAACGAUGUCGAUUUGGAGGUUGUGCCCUUGAGGCGUGGCUUCCGGAGCUAACGCGUUAAAUCGACCGCCUGGGGAGUACGGCCGCAAGGUUAAAACUCAAAUGAAUUGACGGGGGCCCGCACAAGCGGUGGAGCAUGUGGUUUAAUUCGAUGCAACGCGAAGAACCUUACCUGGUCUUGACAUCCACAGAACUUAGCAGAGAUGGUUUGGUGCCUUCGGGAACUGUGAGACAGGUGCUGCAUGGCUGUCGUCAGCUCGUGUUGUGAAAUGUUGGGUUAAGUCCCGCAACGAGCGCAACCCUUAUCCUUUGUUGCCAGCGGUUAGGCCGGGAACUCAAAGGAGACUGCCAGUGAUAAACUGGAGGAAGGUGGGGAUGACGUCAAGUCAUCAUGGCCCUUACGACCAGGGCUACACACGUGCUACAAUGGCAUAUACAAAGAGAAGCGACCUCGCGAGAGCAAGCGGACCUCAUAAAGUAUGUCGUAGUCCGGAUUGGAGUCUGCAACUCGACUCCAUGAAGUCGGAAUCGCUAGUAAUCGUAGAUCAGAAUGCUACGGUGAAUACGUUCCCGGGCCUUGUACACACCGCCCGUCACACCAUGGGAGUGGGUUGCAAAAGAAGUAGGUAGCUUAACCUUCGGGAGG